rnacentral:rRNA from 1 species
AAGUCGUGCGAGAAAGGGCUUCGGCCCCAGUACAGCGGCGCACGGGUGCGUAACACGUAGGUAAUCUUCCCUCUAGCGGGGGAUAACAUCCCGAAAGGGUUGCUAAUACCGCAUGAGACCACGGCGACCUCGGUCGCUGAGGGAAAAGCUGGCCUCUGCAUGCAAGCUAGCGCUAGGGGACGAGCCUGCGGCCCAUCAGCUCGUUGGUGAGGUAACGGCUCACCAAGGCUAAGACGGGUAGCUGGUCUGAGAGGAUGAUCAGCCACACUGGAACUGAAACACGGUCCAGACUCCUACGGGAGGCAGCAGUGGGGAAUCUUGGUCAAUGGGCGCAAGCCUGAACCAGCGACGCCGCGUGAGUGAUGAAGGCCUUCGGGUUGUAAAGCUCUGUGGGGAGGGGCGAAAACGGGCCGGGCGAACAGGCCGGUCCCUUGACGGUACCUCCUUAGCAAGCACCGGCUAACUCUGUGCCAGCAGCCGCGGUAAGACAGAGGGUGCGAACGUUGCUCGGAAUUACUG